GACGAACGCUGGCGGCGUGCCUAAUACAUGCAAGUAGAACGCUGAAGAGAGGAGCUUGCUCUUCUUGGAUGAGUUGCGAACGGGUGAGCAACGCGUAGGUAACCUGCCUUGUAGCGGGGGAUAACUAUUGGAAACGAUAGCUAAUACCGCAUAACAAUGGAUGACACAUGUCAUUUAUUUGAAAGGGGCAAUUGCUCCACUACAAGAUGGACCUGCGUUGUAUUAGCUAGUAGGUGAGGUAAUGGCUCACCUAGGCGACGAUACAUAGCCGACCUGAGAGGGUGAUCGGCCACACUGGGACUGAGACACGGCCCAGACUCCUACGGGAGGCAGCAGUAGGGAAUCUUCGGCAAUGGGGGCAACCCUGACCGAGCAACGCCGCGUGAGUGAAGAAGGUUUUCGGAUCGUAAAGCUCUGUUGUAAGUCAAGAACGGGUGUGAGAGUGGAAAGUUCACACUGUGACGGUAGCUUACCAGAAAGAGACGGCUAACUACGUG
rnacentral:rRNA from 1 species